UUCUAACUGGUUUUACUUACCUUUUCCCUUUUUACAGUAAAAUGAACACAUGUAUUAACAGUUUGCUUUCCAUUUGAUUUGGGGGUGGUAGUGGUGAAUAAUUUGUCUUGCUGUCCUACUAUUAUGGUAGAACAUAUCAUUGUCUUUCAGCUGUAUUACAGGUUUUAAAAACAGAUUGAUUACUCUGUAUUAACACUUCCUAAGUUAUUUCAGGAAAGUAACCAAGUUGAUGAUUAACUUCAAAUGACUACUAUUGGUGUCAACAAUUUGUUCAAAUAUUUAAGCUACUAGUUUAAAUUCUUUGCUAGACCAAGGAGCAGAGUUUCUUCUUAUUCUUCCAAGGCUGUUCUCAACAGAUGGAAGGCAUUACCGUCCCUUCAGAGAACUUAAAUUGCACAUGAUUUUAUUUGUCUGUUUAGAAACAUAACAACCCUUUUUUCCUUCAGUUAUCUCAUUUUCUAACUGAAAAGUUAUAGUCUUUUUAAUUACUCUGUGUAUGCUCUAAUGGGCCUCCCUGGCCUAUUUCUGUUUUUCUCUCUUUUUGAGAUGAUAUAAUCACCUCUGGAUGCAGGACAUGGGACAGGAGGAAAUUGCAGUCUGUGUUAAUAAUGUUGCCAAAAUUAGAAGUUCUUACGAGAUGUUGGUGUUAUAAAGAAAAUAUGAGACAUAUAGAAAGAUAAAAAUAGAGAUUACUUCUGAGCAAACUGAUGCAGAAAAACUACUGAUUCAGACAAGUGAGAUGCAGAAAGUAAAGGUUGCCAAAUACAUUGUUGAAGAAUCAAAAGGUAUAAAUGUAGAGCCUAACCAAGAAGAUCAAGACCACUUUUUUGAUAGAAUUGCAGAAAACUUUGUGGUGCUUUUUCUUCUUGUUCCCAGGGUGUCUAAAGGUACCUUUUUUUCAGGUGUAUCCUGACUGUUUGUCAUAAGUCAUCUAUGUCACGUUCUGCGAAGUGUUUCCUGAAUCCAUUGAAAGUUUUGAUGAUGAUUUUAAGGAUGGGUUGGUAGACUUAAUUUUUCAGUGGAUAUCAGGUCUGAAACCAAGGAAAUGUGUAUGGGAGAAAUGGAAUCUUGAGAGCUUUAAGGCUACCACAGUAAAUCCUAAUAGUGAAGGUGCUACUGCUAACAUACAGGCUCGUGGAUCUGCCAGUUCCGCAGCAGCCUAGAAACCACAGUGAGGCUGAAAACCAGAUGAACAUCUGCAUCUAGCCAAACAAAGAACAUAAGAGUGGAAGGGAUCUCUGGGUCAUCAAGUCCAGUGCUCUGCUAGCCUGGGAAUUGCAUCAGAUAAUUCUCUUUUCAUAAACUUUGCCAAUACUAAAUUGGAGUUGUUAUUUCUUUGCCCCCAGUGUUUCCGCCAAAGGCUGUUCCAGAGUUUGAUUUAUUUUAAUGGCUAGAGACUCUGUAGUAAUUUGCAAUCUGCAUUUUUUCAGCGACAGUUUAUAUCCAUUUGUUCUUCUGCCUGUGCUGGCCAUUAUCUUAAGGAGAGUUUUUUUUUUUUUAAGUCUGUGUUUGAAUUUUUUAUUUAUACAGAACUAAAAAAAUGAAAGAUUCAGAAUAACUUUGUAAAACAAGUCAUGCUAAUAGAAACCGAGUUUCCUUCAGUAAGCUGCUGUUGGCUGAAGUUACAGAAGUAAGAAAUACUACUACUUUC